rnacentral:tRNA from 1 species
GCCUGAGUGAUGAAAUAGGUAGACAUGACGGAUUCAAAAUCCGUUGCCCUUAAAGGCGUGUCGGUUCGAGUCCGACCUCAGGCACCA